rnacentral:rRNA from 1 species
AUCUGCCCUACACUAGAGGACAACAGUUGGAAACGACUGCUAAUACUCUAUACUCCUCUUUAACAUAAGUUAGAUAGGGAAAGUUUUUCGGUGUAGGAUGAGGCUAUAUUGUAUCAGCUAGUUGGUGAGGUAAUGGCUCACCAAGGCUAUGACGCAUAACUGGUCUGAGAGGAUGAUCAGUCACACUGGAACUGAGACACGGUCCAGACUCCUACGGGAGGCAGCAGUAGGGAAUAUUGCUCAAUGGGGGAAACCCUGAAGCAGCAACGCCGCGUGGAGGAUGACACUUUUCGGAGCGUAAACUCCUUUUGUUAGGGAAGAACAAUGACGGUACCUAACGAAUAAGCACCGGCUAACUCCGUGCCAGCAGCCGCGGUAAUACGGAGGGUGCAAGCGUUACUCGGAAUCACUGGGCGUAAAGGACGCGUAGGCGGAUUAUCAAGUCUCUUGUGAAAUCCUAUGGCUUAACCAUAGAACUGCUUGGGAAACUGAUAAUCUAGAGUGAGGGAGAGGCAGAUGGAAUUGGUGGUGUAGGGGUAAAAUCCGUAGAGAUCACCAGGAAUACCCAUUGCGAAGGCGAUCUGCUGGAACUCAACUGACGCUAAUGCGUGAAAGCGUGGGGAGCAAACAGGAUUAGAUACCCUGGUAGUCCACGCCCUAAACGAUGUAUACUAGUUGUUGCUAAGCUAGUCUUGGCAGUAAUGCACCUAACGGAUUAAGUAUACCGCCUGGGGAGUACGGUCGCAAGAUUAAAACUCAAAGGAAUAGACGGGGACCCGCACAAGCGGUGGAGCAUGUGGUUUAAUUCGAAGAUACGCG